rnacentral:rRNA from 1 species
CGUUCCCUCUGGCGGUAGGCCUAACACAUGCAAGUCGAACGGCAGCACAGUAAGAGCUUGCUCUUACGGGUGGCGAGUGGCGGACGGGUGAGGAAUACAUCGGAAUCUACUUUUUCGUGGGGGAUAACGUAGGGAAACUUACGCUAAUACCGCAUACGACCUACGGGUGAAAGCAGGGGAUCUUCGGACCUUGCGCGAUUGAAUGAGCCGAUGUCGGAUUAGCUAGUUGGCGGGGUAAAGGCCCACCAAGGCGACGAUCCGUAGCUGGUCUGAGAGGAUGAUCAGCAACACGGGAAGUGAGCAGCGGCCAAGAGCCUUAGGGGAGGAAGAGGUGGGGAUAAUGGGCAAAUGGGGGAAAGCUUGAUCAAGCCUUCCAGGGUGGGUGAAGAAGGCCUGCGGGUGGUAAGGCCCUUUUUUGGGGAAAAAAAGGAACAGGGUAAAACCCCGCCUGUCUGGCGGGAACCAAAAGAAUAGGAACGGGUAACCUCGGU